rnacentral:rRNA from 1 species
UACGUGGGGACCAAGCGUUGUCCGGAAUUACUGGGCGUAAAGGGCGUGCAGGUGGCCCGUCAAGCGUGGCGUGAAAGCCCCCGGCCCAACCGGGGAGGGUCGUCGCGGACUGACGGGCUUGAGGGGCGCAGGGGUCGGUGGAAUUCCGGGUGUAGUGGUGAAAUGCGUAGAGAUCCGGAGGAACACCAGUGGCGAAGGCGGCCGGCUGGGCGCACCCUGACACUGAGACGCGAAGGCGUGGGGAGCGAAC